rnacentral:rRNA from 1 species
AGCGAACGCUGGCGGCAGGCUUAACACAUGCAAGUCGAGCGGGCAUAGCAAUAUGUCAGCGGCAGACGGGUGAGUAACGCGUGGGAACGUACCUUUUGGUUCGGAACAACUGAGGGAAACUUCAGCUAAUACCGGAUAAGCCCUUACGGGGAAAGAUUUAUCGCCGAAAGAUCGGCCCGCGUCUGAUUAGCUAGUUGGCGAGGUAAUGGCUCACCAAGGCGACGAUCAGUAGCUGGUCUGAGAGGAUGAUCAGCCACAUUGGGACUGAGACACGGCCCAAACUCCUACGGGAGGCAGCAGUGGGGAAUAUUGGACAAUGGGCGCAAGCCUGAUCCAGCCAUGCCGCGUGAGUGAUGAAGGCCCUAGGGUUGUAAAGCUCUUUUGUGCGGGAAGAUAAUGACGGUACCGCAAGAAUAGCCCCGGCUAACUUCGUGC